AUUGAACGCUGGCGGUAGGCCUUACACAUGCAAGUCGAACGGCAGCACAUUAAGAGCUGGCUCCUACGGGCGGCGGGUGGCGUACUGCAUCGGAAUGCAUCCGAAUCUACUUUUUCGCGGGGCAUAACCUUGGGUAACACACGCUACUACCUCCUACUACCUGCGGGUGAAAGCAGGGGAUCUUCGGACCUUGCGCGCUUGAAGCAGCCGAUGUCGGAUUAGCUAGUUGGUGGGGUAAAGGCCUACCAAGGCGACUAUCCGUAGCUGGUUUGAGAGGACGAACAGCCACAAGGGGACUGAGACACGGCCCAGACUCCUACGGGAGGCAGCAGUGGGGGAAUUUGGACAAUGGGGGAAAGCCUGAUCCAGCCAUGCCGCGUGGGGGAAGAAGGCCUUCGGGUUGUAAAAGGCUUUUGUUUGGAAAGAAAAGACUCUGGUUAAUACCCGGGGUGCAUGACGGUACCCAAAGAAUAAGCACCGGCUAACUACGUG
rnacentral:rRNA from 1 species